UCGAAGUCUUCAUUGCAGGAC
rnacentral:snRNA from 1 species